GACGAACGCUGGCGGUGUGCCUAAUACAUGCAAGUAGAACGCUGAAGGAGGAGCUUGCUUCUCUUGAUGAUUUGCGAACGCGUGAGUAACGCGUAUGUAACCUGCCUUGUAUCGGGGGAUAACUAUUGGAAACGAUAGCUAAUACCGCAUAAUAGCAGUUAUUGCAUGAUAACUGUUUGAAAGUUGCAAUUUCACCACUACCAGAUGGCCCUGCGUUGUAUUAGCUAGGUGGUGGGGUAACGGCUCACCAAGGCGACGAUACAUAGCCGACCUGAGAGGGUGGUCCGCCACACUGGGACUGAGACACGGCCCAGACUCCUACGGGAGGCAGCAGUAGGGGAUCAUCGGCAAUGGACGGAAGUCUGAACGAGCAACGCCGCGUGAGGGAAGAAAGUCUUCGGAUCGUAAAGCUCUGUUGUAUGAGAAGAAAGAGUGUGAGAGUGGAAACUUCCCACUGUGACGGUAUCUAACGAGAAAGCAACGGCUAACUACGUG
rnacentral:rRNA from 1 species